GUAGUCUCGCACAGAUGUAUAUCAAUAAGCGGAGGAAAAGAAACUAACAAGGAUUCCCCUAGUAACGGCGAGUGAAGCGGGAAGAGCUCAAAUUUGAAAUCUUAAAGGGUUUCCCUUUACGAAUUGUAGUUUAAAGAAGUGUUUUCUGUUGAGGCUUUGGUAAAAGUUCUUUGGAAUAGGACAUCAUAGAGGGUGAGAAUCCCGUAUUUGACCUUUACUUUCAACUUUGUGAUAGCACUUUCAAAGAGUCGGAUUGUUUGGGAAUGCAGUCCAAAAUGGGUGGUAAAUUUCAUCUAAAGCUAAAUAUUGGCGAGAGACCGAUAGCGAACAAGUACCGUGAGGGAAAGGAUGAAAAGAACUUUGAAAAGAGAGUUAAACAGUAUGUGAAAUUGUCAAAAGGGAAGCGUUUGACACCAGUGUUGUUUUUCUGAAAAUCAAUUAAAGAACUGUUUAUGCUAAGCUGUUUAGACUUUAUCAGCUAAUCUGUUUAGUUUUGAGCUUUUCUUUAAUGCACUUUUCAGUUAACAAGUCAACAUCAAUUUCUUUUGCUGUAAAAAAGCUUGAGGAAGGUGGCUUGAGAUUCGUCUUAAGUGUUUAUAGCCUCUUGCCUAUGCAGUCGGAGAGAUUGAGGUCUGCAGCGUAGAUCCUUCGGGGCUAAAUGCAUUUGUGCUAAGUUAUAGCAUUUUAUAGACAACUUGUUGACUAUGAUUUGUCUUGUAGCUUACCUCGCUUAUGUUAUUUUACCUACGCUUAGGAUGUUGAUCUGUAGUGCGUGCGC
rnacentral:rRNA from 1 species